AUUGAACGCUGGCGGCAGGCCUAACACAUGCAAGUCGAACGAGUGGCGGACGGGUGAGUAAUGUCUGGGAAACUGCCAGAUGGAGGGGGAUAACUACUGGAAACGGUAUCUAAUACCGCAUACCAUCGGAUGUGCCCAUAUGGGAUUAGCUAGUAGUGGGGGUAAAGGCUCACCUAGGCGACGAUCCCUAGCUGGUCUGAGAGGCUGACCAGCAACACUGGAACUGAGACACGGUCCAGGCUCCUACGGGAGGCAGCAGUGGGGAAUAUUGCACAAUGGGCGCAAGCCUGAGACAGCCAUGCCGGGUGGAUGAAGAAGGCCUUCGGGUUGUAAAGUACUGUCAGCGGGGAGGCGUUACCCGCAGAAGAAGCACCGGCUAACUCCGUGCCAGCAGCCGCGGUAAUUC
rnacentral:rRNA from 1 species